rnacentral:rRNA from 1 species
UGGGGAAUAUUGGACAAUGGGCGAAAGCCUGAUCCAGCCAUGCCGCGUGUGUGAAGAAGGUCUUCGGAUUGUAAAGCACUUUAAGUUGGGAGGAAGGGCAGUAAGCGAAUACCUUGCUGUUUUGACGUUACCGACAGAAUAAGCACCGGCUAACUCUGUGCCAGCAGCCGCGGUAAUACAGAGGGUGCAAGCGUUAAUCGGAAUUACUGGGCGUAAAGCGCGCGUAGGUGGUUCGUUAAGUUGAAUGGGAAAGCCCCGGGCUCAACCUGGGAACUGCAUCCAAAACUGGCGGGCUAGAGUAGGGCAGAGGGUGGUGGGAUUGCCUGUGUAGCGGUGAAAUGCGUAGAUAUAGGAAGGAACACCAGUGGCGAAGGCGACCACCUGGGCUCAUACUGACACUGAGGUGCGAAAGCGUGGGGAGCAAACAGG